GAUGAACGCUGGCGGCGUGCCUAAUACAUGCAAGUCGAGCGAAUGGAUUAAGAGCUUGCUCUUAUGAAGUUAGCGGCGGACGGGUGAGUAACACGUGGGUAACCUGCCCAUAAGACUGGGAUAACUCCGGGACACCGGGGCUAAUACCGGAUAACAUUUUGAACCGCAUGGUUCGAAAUUGAAAGGCGGCUUCGGCUGGCACUUAUGGAUGGACCCGCGUCGCAUUAGCUAGUUGGUGAGGUAACGGCUCACCAAGGCAACGAUGCGUAGCCGACCUGAGAGGGUGAUCGGCCACACUGGGACUGAGACACGGCCCAGACUCCUACGGGAGGCAGCAGUAGGGAAUCUUCCGCAAUGGACGAAAGUCUGACGGAGCAACGCCGCGUGAGUGAUGAAGGCUUUCGGGUCGUAAAACUCUGUUGUUAGGGAAGAACAAGUGCUAGUUGAAUAAGCUAGCACCUUGACGGUACCUAACCAGAAAGCCACGGCUAACUACGUGCCAGCAGCCGCGGUAA
rnacentral:rRNA from 1 species